AGUGAACGCUGGCGGUAGGCCUAACACAUGCAAGUCGAACGGCAGCACAGUAAGAGCUUGCUCUUACGGGUGGCGAGUGGCGGACGGGUGAGGAAUACAUCGGAAUCUACUUUUUCUUGGGGGAUAACGUAGGGAAACUUACGCUAAUACCGCAUACGACCUACGGGUGAAAGCAGGGGAUCUUCUGACCUUGCGCGAUUGAAUGAGCCGAUGUCGGAUUAGCUAGUUGGCGGGGUAAAGGCCCACCAAGGCGACGAUCCGUAGCUGGUCUGAGAGGAUGAGCAGCCACACUGGAAAUGAGACACGGUCCAGACUCCUACGGGAGGCAGCAGUGGGGAAUAUUGGACAAUGGGCGAAAGCCUGAUCCAGCCAUACCGCGUGGGUGAAGAAGGCCUUCGGGUUGUAAAGCCCUUUUGUUGGGAAAGAAAAGCAGCAGGUUAAUACCCCGCUGUUCUGACGGUACCCACAGAAUAAGCACCGGCUAACUUCGUG
rnacentral:rRNA from 1 species